AACGAACGUUAGCGGCGCGCCUAACACAUGCAAGUCGCACGAGAAAGGGCUUCGGCCCCGGUACAGUGGCGCACGGGUGAGUAACACGUGGGUAAUCUGCCCUCGAGCGGGGGAUAACAUUCCGAAAGGAGUGCUAAUACCGCAUAAGACCACGCCUUCGAAAGAAGAAGCGGUCAAAGCUGGCCUCUAUACAUAAGCUAGCACUCGAGAAUGAGCCCGCGGAGCAUCAGCUAGUUGGUGAGGUAAUGGCUCACCAAGGCUUAGACGCUUAGCUGGUCUGAGAGGAUGAUCAGCCACACUGGAACUGAGACACGGUCCAGACUCCUACGGGAGGCAGCAGUGGGGAAUCUUGCGCAAUGGGCGAAAGCCUGACGCAGCGACGCCGCGUGAGUGAUGAAGGCCUUCGGGUUGUAAAGCUCUGUGGGGAGAGAAGAAUAAGUGCGGGCUAAUACUCCGCAUGAUGACGGUAUCUCCUUAGCAAGCACCGGCUAACUCUGUG
rnacentral:rRNA from 1 species